GACCAACUCUGGACAGUCAUCAUGGCCGCCACCUACUUUGCCCUAUUCGCCUCCGGCCUCGCCGUCUUGCUUCUACUAGUCCAAGGAUCGCCGCCAGGGCCCGUUGUCCAGUGCCGGUCCGGCAACACUAACUGCACCGUGACCAACGGCUAUGGAGCCUUUCCUGAUCGCAGCACCUGCUGCGUCGCCGCGGUCGCGUACCCUUCCACCGAACUGGAGCUCCUGUUAGCUGUCUCCGACGCCACCGAGAAGCAGCAGCACAUGAAGGCUGUCACGAUGUACUCCCACAGCAUCCCCAAGCUGUCGUGCCCCGGAGGGCCGAGCGGCCAGGGCCUGGUCAUUAGCACCCAGCGCCUCAACCGAUCGGUGAGCGUGGACAUGGCCACCUCGCGGAUGACGUUCGAAGCAGGGAUCACACUUAGGGAGCUCCUUGACGCGGCGGCCGCCCGUGGCCUGGCGCUACCCCACUCGCCGUACUGGCAAGGGAUGACGCUCGGCGGCCUGCUGAGCACCGGCUCCCAUGGGAGCUCGGUGUUCGGGAAGGGCUCGGCGGUGCACGAAUAUGUGGUAGGGAUGAGGCUGGUGGUUCCAAGUCCGGCCCCGGUGAACGGAUACUACGCCAAGAUCGUUAAUCUUGGUGAGGAUGAUCCUGAUCUCUUGGCUGCCAAGGUUUCUCUCGGUGUUCUUGGAGUCAUUUCUCAGGUAUGUGUGUGGUGACCUACGUGUUAUUCUUUGUUCUUUACACGGAUUGAGAUCCAUGUGAUAACUCAUCUUAGUUCUUCAUGGUGGUUCUUCCAACCACGUCAAGUACUUUCAUAAGCUGAGUGUACAAGAUUUGCCACGUUUCGAUGCUAAUUAGGUGCAACUAUAUCUUUAAUUCUUCAUGAUAUAAUAGAGAUCAUCCUACUGUUAUUAGCAACGCUGAAUACAUCCUAUCGUCAGUAAAAUGUCGAGACAGAAAAAAAAAACUUGAUUUCUAUCAAAUCACUUUACAAAGGAAGACUUGUUCUUUUCCUUGAAUCUAGAAAGUUACGUAAAUAAUAGGCUUUUGAUGAUCGCAGUGGACUUUACUUUUAAUCUUUCCUUCUUUUCUUGCUUUGCUUGUCUUCCUUGUUUCAAAAUGGGCUGAUGCAAACCUUUGAACCGUUCUAAUGAUUCCAUGUACCUUCCCUCGUCGUUUAUCGUAACUACACAACAUACUUGAGUGUUAUGGAACAUAUGAGCACAUGCAAACCCACAGAGACAAAGAUCAGAGAAAAAGCAACCAUUGCAAUAACAGCUACAGUGACGUUGAUGAUGACUCGGUGUAAAUGAGAGUGCCCCUUCCUUCACAUAUGGAGCCUCGAGCAGGGCAAGAGGCAGGCAGGUCCAUGCUGCCUUGCCUUGCAGAGCUUACGACCGGGCCCACUAAUUGCCUUAAAAGCCUCAGUAACAAUUAUUAGGUUGAAGGACGAUAGGGGAUGUCAGUAGUUGUAGUUCUUGUUUCAAUCUUUUUGCCUGAAUAGCUGAAAAGAGUUGACUAGCGAUACAUGUAAGCUUUUGUUCUUCUGCUUCAUUAUAAGUAACCUAAGAAUUACUUGAACCGAUCGAGCAGGUCACCCUCCAACUUGAGCCAAUGUUCAAGCGAUCCAUCACCAACAGGGUCGUAAGCGACGUUGGCUUCGAGCAAACCAUCUCCUCGUACGCUGUCACUACAUACUAUGGAGACAUCAGCUGGUAUCCGUCACAACGCAGAGUGGUGUACCGAGAUGAUAUCAAGGUCCCCAUCACCACCGAAGGAAAGGGUGUAAACGACUACUUAGGGUUCCGAGCGCAGCCCACCCACGUCGGAGCCUCUCUACGUGCUUCAGGUCUUAUAAAUUGCAGCUUUUAUUUUGCUUGUCAAACUUAAUGUAGUGUUCGAGCAGUAUUAUGCACACAUUUACAUCGACAUUUCGUCCGAGAUUUGUACUAAGAAGGCUUCUUUUGUCCUCUACCAUGUGUUUGUGUCUGUGAAUGCAGAGGAACGAGUGGAGGCAACGGGAAAUGCGGAAGGCAAAUGUGUGCUGUUCAGAUUGCAAGUUGAUACUUUGAUUGCGACCGGCAUGGGCCUUAAGAACAAUGACGGCGGCUUGUUAGAAUUCACCGGCUAUCCGGUCGUUGGAAACCAAAGCGACAUGCAAUCCUCCGGUAGGUCCUCCAAUUAUCCGAAGAAUGUAUAUGAUGACACAUGUUACACCUGUAUUAUAUAUUAUAUGGUCUGAGCCAAAUUCACUCCUGUAUUCUGUAUUAGUCUGAACCAUCUUCUCUCCAGGUUCGUGCCUAAGAAGUGCAGAAGACAACCUUCUCACGGCCUGUGGAUGGGACCCUCGCUUUGCUGGGUCCUUCUACCACGAAACCGCGAUAAGUAUCCCCUUCACCACCGUUGCAGACUUCAUCGCCGACGUCAAGAAGCUCCGCGACGCCCACCCCAACUCGCUCUGCGGCACCGAGCUGUCCUUGGGCUUCUUCAUUCGCUUCCUCCGCAACUCCACGGCCUAUCUUGGCAAAACGGACGACGUGGUGGAGAUCGACAUCACAUACUACCGUUCCAGGGAUCCAAAACGGCCGCGACUCUAUGAGGAUGUGCUCGAGGAGAUCGAACAGAUGGCCUUGUUCAAGUACAAUGGGCUGCCGCACUGGGGGAAGAACAGAAAUGUCGGCUUCCUCAAUGUCAAGAACAAGCUGGGGGCUAAGUUGGCCAAGUUUGUGAGUGUGAUGCAGAAGUAUGACAGCAAUGGAUUGUUCUCUUCAGACUGGACCGAUGCGGUGCUGGGACUGCGAGGGAAGGAAGUUGUGGUGCAGGGAGAUGGAUGUGCACUGGAGGGGCUGUGCAUUUGCUCCACUGACGACCACUGCGCUCCUAAACUAGGCUAUUUUUGUCGACCUGGAGAAGUCUAUGAACAGGCUCGAGUUUGCCGGAAGAUAAAAUCCGUGGAAGCUGAUGGUUUGGCAUGGAGCGCAUGAUACCAUUCACAUUCAUUUGCUGUGCGGUUUAUUUCUGUGUCACUUCCUCUUCGAAUAAAGGUUGUAAUGUCAGUCAAUAAUUACUACAUAGUUUAAUGAUGAUUAAUGAUAAUAACCUGCGACACACGUAAAUGUUCUGAUUAAUUUUACAUAAAUUACACUUGACCCACGUUUCGUGACACAAAUGACAUGGUAGUUCACACCGAAACUACUGCUCUCUAUAAAUUACUCAACGGCGCAGCAUCCAAUCUUCUGUUUGUUCCUUUCUCAUCCUCGCAGUAUAAUUUGGAGAUAGGAAGUGGUCGCACCAUGAGCGAGGGAAACAGCAGCGAGAGCAAGCUGACCCCGUACAUCAGGCCCCCGACCGGGCCGCUGUGGCAUGCCCGGGACUUGUACGAGAGCAGCAAGGCGCAGAGUGGCACCGUCAUCGCGCUGUCUCGCGCCUAUGGCUUUGGGCAGUGCUCGCGGACGAGCAGCAGCGAGGAAGAGAUCAACGACCUCAUCGGCGCCGCUUGCAAGAGCAUGAUGCGGGCCAUCCUGGUGAAGGAGGAUGGGCUGGUGCCAAGGAGCCACCGAGUGGCGACGUUGAGGAUAGACGAUGACAAGCCGUGUGACUUCGAGGACGACCAAGAGGAACGAUGCCAAGGAGCUGUAGCUACGAUGUUGCCACCAAGAGGAACGUGGGCUUCUAAUAAGCUUCAAGUUAGAUUGUGCGGUGAUCAACACGAACAGUAAACAUCCGAGCUUAUAUAUUGUACUGCUUUCGAGGGAGGAAAUAAGCAUUUCGUUGAGCCGUUGUCAUUCUUUUGGAACCAAAACUUAUUAGGAGAGAAAUCGAAUAGUGAAUACAGAAGAAGAUAUUCUUCACUUCUUUUGUGAAGCUUUGUUGUAUUUUACCUACUCACCAUGUAUUUUACACAAAAUAACUAGUUUUAGAUCGGGCAUGACAUCCUGAAGGAAUGAUUGUUUAAUAGACUACAAUGUUUAUUUAUGCGAGGAUUUGGCAUGCUUUUCUCAUCUUAAAAAAAGGAAAUGUUAAAUUUCUAAAAAAAGACCUCCUAACUUUAAAUUAUCAAAUAACGCUCUGAGAAAUUUUUUUAGAGUAUUUUUUUCUUAAACAAUCAUUCUAUCCAUUGUCAACUCUAUCCAUGCAUUGUUAUUAUUGUAUUUACAUGUGGCCCUCGCAUAAGGAAGGAAGGGGUGCAAGAGUUGUCACCUCCUUCCUGCACCACCUCUCCUCCUCUUGUCAUGCUGGAUUUGUUACUUAUAGGCCUCACUCGAGGAAAGAGAGGGUACGAGAGCCAUUGCCACUUAUGCGGACCCCACCAACUCUAUCCUAGCGCCUCGAUCACAACUUUCAUAUGAGAAAGGAGGGGACGUGAGGGCCGUCAUCGUUUCUGUGGACCUUACUAGCCCUAGGACCUUGCUAGACUCUAUUGGACUUGUUGCCCGUAGCCCUUACACAAGGAAAGAAGGGUUGUGAGGGUCGACGCCACCACCAUCUUCACAGACCACUACGACCCUGCUUAUAUGCACUUCACUCGUAACCCUUGUGCAAGGAAGAAGGUGGCACAUGUGCUAUCGUUGCCUUUGUGGAACCUAUUAGUCUCCGUCAAACCUGUUGUCACUCUGCACCACCCCCCCUUUCCUCGCACGAGGGCCAUAGUGUGCAAGGGUUGUGAGUGACAGAUUAUAUGAAGUAGAGGAGAGGAUAGGUAGUGCAUGGAGUAAGGGCACAAGUGAUUAUAGAGGGAGGAGGAGAUAACUAUAGGUCUAAUAGAAAUAGAGAUAAAAUAAUAUUUUUAUAUAAUCAAGAUACUCUAUGAAUUUCUUAAAGUUAAAAGGCUCUGUAAAAAAUUCAUAAUGUUAAAUCUAAAAAAAAAAUAAGGAUUUGACGUGCGUCCGACAAGCCUCCUUCCUGGAGAGGAUCAACACACAGCUAGUUAGUAGGGGAUUCAGUAACUUUCCUUUUUUUUUCCCUUUAAAAAUAUGAAGUUUCAUAACUUAUCAAAAAGAGGUCCAAAUUGUACAUUUAUACCAAUAAAUUUGAAUACUACAAGUUUUUCUCUUGCAACUAAUACACACACAUAUACUACAGUUUUGCCCCAUACAAAUCGAAUAACAAUGAGUAUAGUUUUGACCCUUCCAUGUAUAGAAAUUAAAUAAAAAUUAGUUUGAUUCAAUUCAAAGAGUUAAGUUUCUAUAUUGUGGACCAAAUUAAGUAUAUAUAAUCAGACUCUUUUAAUUCUUAAUUAUACUAGAUUAUCCUCUUAGUUUAUUUUAUUUCAAUUUAGACAUGAAUAUUUUCAUUACAAUGUGAAUAAUAAAAAUAUCUUAAAAGUGAAGUCAUAUUUGGUUCUUUAUUAGACCUUACUUUUCAACUUUUGUAACGAUCCAACCAAUGACCUCAUUAUUGGCCAUGAAUGAAAUCUUGAAUUCUAAUUUUUAAGUAAAAUGUAACUUAUGAUAUUUUAGAUUAAUACAAGUUAACAAUUAUUAACUAUCAUUAGUUAUGAUUGAUUAAAAAUUGAAAUGUAGUAAUAGAAUAUGAUAUUACAAAAUGUUCACAUCAUAUUUCUUUCUUAAAAAAUAAUCUUGUUUAUACCAAACUCGAAUUCAAAAUCUCAUCUGAUAUAUUUUGAAGAUAUCAUCUAAUUUAGUUGGUGUUAGUGUAGAUUUUGAUUAUAUGAGCUAGGAUAAUUCUUCAAAUUGAAUCAAAGUCUAUUCCAAACCAAUCUCACUUCACAUCACUAUUAAUAAAGCACCAAACUUGUAAAACUAGGUCAAGAGGUAUUCUUGACAAAUAUUCCUUCAAUAAUCAAUUGAAUUCUUAGGUUUGGACUGGCUGAUGAAUAUUGAAGUGAAAUCAUAUCUUAAGAGUACAUGAGAGUCCUUUUUAUGGGUGAUACUAAGGAUGAUUAUUCCUAGAAUCACCGAUCACUUAGGCUAGUCGAUCACGAGUUCAAAUUAUCUAUCAUUUGGCCACAUAUCACCCCUUUAUGAGUAUAUAUCUUACUACCUGACCAUCAUCUGUCAAACGCGUGUGAUCCCCAUGCUCUUUGAUAAUCGACCCAUUGGCUUCUUGGCCACGUGUCGCAUUGUGGCAAUGUUGUAUUUGACAUGUCACUUGUCACCUAUCACUAGCCCCCCAUUUCUAAGUUGAUAGAUUAUAGGGCUAUAGAGCUAAGAAGUGCUCUGGCCUAUGAUUUUUACACUGAUAGCGAGUUUGUUCAUCAUCGUUUUGACAUAUGUCAUUGGAAUGCAUGUUGUGUCCAUUAAAGCUAUUCUAUCCAUUCAGUGUGUUUGACGCAUUCAGUCCAUUUGACCCAUUCCGUUGGUUAGGGUCGUUCAGCUCGUUCAAUCAAUUUGACAUGUUAGGCUUUUUAGGAUUUAACCUAGAUGGUACCACGAAGUUUUCUUAAGAUAUCUUAGUUGCCCUCUCUCUAACGCUAAUAUAUUAGUAUAAAUUUUAAUUGUCUGAAUUGAGAUGAUAACUUAGAUCCAACUGAGAUUCAUUGCAAGUUAGUCUUACUCUAGGAAACCUACAAAUGCCCCAUCGUAGAUCAAGUCAGACUUGUUGGCCAAUAAUAAAGUCAAGUUGGAUCCUCGAAGUGUACCUAGAGUCCCUUUUAUUAGUAACUCUGAGAAUGAUUAUGUCCGGAAUCAUUGAUGGUAAGAGAGGAAUAUGUGCCACAUUCAGACUGAGACUUGGCAUGAUAUUCAUCGAACCUUGUGUUCACAUAGGUUGGUUGUGCUAAUCAUGGGUUUGGACGAUCGACUAUUCAUCCACGUAUUAUCUCAUGCUGAGUGUGCAUCUCAUGAUUCCAUCAUCACCUAUCUAUCACAUAUGAUCCUCAUGCUCUUUGGUUGUCAACCUUGUGGCCAUGUGUCACUACACGGUGAUGUUAUAUUCGAUAUAUUACUCUUUAUGCUGAAAAAAAAUUUGAUAGUUGAUCACUAGACUCAAAAUUCUACAUUCGUUAGUGGUGCGUUGGCCAUGUCUCGCCGCAUGAUAGUGUUAUAUUCAAUGUCACACCCUUCACCUGUCAGAUAAAGACUUUAAUAGUUCCUCCCAAAAUUUUAGACUUAAAUUCCACAUUAAUCACUUAUUCUCAAAAAAAAAAUCUGGUUAAGAUCGCAACCACUGCUUCGGUUACAAUUAUCCCUUCUAUUUUUAUAACAGAACAAAUAGGGUAAACAGUGUGCGAGUCGAUCAGUCGGUGGACUGCCUUCAUUCCACCGACUUACACCAUCAUGAGAUCCUCUUAAUUUUCAAAUUAUAAUAAUUAUAAUUUAAAAAAUAUGAAUAACAUUAAAUAAAAAUAAACAAAAAAAUCAGCCAUAACGCGUAAAGGUCAAAGUCAAAGUACCCAUGACCCAUGGACUGGGACACGUGGAGGCAAGAAAGCAUCACAACAGACUCGAGAACGAGCCCACUCGAUUGGACCAUUCAGGGCGGGAUUAAUUGAAAGAAACAACGAGCGAGACAGUCAGCAGGUCCACUAAACUGGAAGCAUUCUUCAUGCUUUGAAAUCAAAACAUGAGUCUAACAUGAUCAACCAAAUUGGACUCAACACUUGUGAUCGAGAAGAAUAGGGUGCCGCCAUGUUCGUACAAGUAAAUGGUUGAUGUGAUCCGGGAGAGAGCAAGGCAUAUAAAUGCUUCAUAACAAGGGAACGUCUCUUACAAGUUCUCCAUUGACAGGUUCUCUUCCUGCUUAGAAUUGGUCCAAUGUUUUCCGGCUUCCACAUACCUCAGGAAAUUGAGUAAAGAACUCUAUUUAAGCGACUUCAAGUCGGCACGACUCUCUUCGCAUCCAAUGUUAAUGUAGCGCUAUGAGCAAGGGAAGCAGAAGAGGGAACAAGCUGAUGCGGUACAUCAAGGCCCCUUAUCGAGCACUGCUUCGUGCCCGGGACUUGUACGUGAACAGCAUGGCCGGAUGCGCCGGCAGGGCCCAGCGCGGGCCGACGAUCAUCGCGAUGCCACGCGCCCAGAGCCGCAGCUUCCACCGCCCGCAAAUGAGCAGCGGCGAGGACGACAUCAACGAGCUCAUCCGCGCUGCGUCGAGGAGCAGGCUGCGGUCCGUCGAGGGAGCGGCGGUUCCGAGGAGUCACAGCGUGGCGGGGAUGACGAUUGACGAGGACAAGCCAUGCAACUUUGAGGGCGACGUCAAGGUGGCCUUGGGCCCGAGGAGCCGGAGCUGCGACGUCGUCUCCAAGAGGAGGGCGGGGUUUACAACAAACGCCGUAAGCAGCAUCCGAAGCUUCUAAUACCAAGAGUGGAAGCACCAAAUGCAGCAAUUCCAUGUCGUUGUGGUUUCUAUUACUCGUGUUCGUGAACUCGAUUCGAUACUUUCUCUCCUCUUCUUCUCCUGUCAUGUUUCUGUUCACUCGUGAAUGUUUGGGCUGCCUGCUUACCUCAUUCCAUCUACACGAACGGAAUGUUCAUAUGGCAUCUCGGUAUCAUUUCCCUCAAAAUUUGAGCCUACAUUUGAAGCAUUUUCAUUAUAUAUAUAUAUAUAUAUAUAUAUAUAUAUAUAUAUAUAUAUAUAUAUAUAUAUAUANNNNNNNNNNNNNNNNNNNNNNNNNNNNNNNNNNNNNNNNNNNNNNNNNNNNNNNNNNNNNNNNNNNNNNNNNNNNNNNNNNNNNNNNNNNNNNNNNNNNNNNNNNNNNNNNNNNNNNNNNNNNNNNNNNNNNNNNNNNNNNNNNNNNNNNNNNNNNNNNNNNNNNNNNNNNNNNNNNNNNNNNNNNNNNNNNNNNNNNNNNNNNNNNNNNNNNNNNNNNNNNNNNNNNNNNNNNNNNNNNNNNNNNNNNNNNNNNNNNNNNNNNNNNNNNNNNNNNNNNNNNNNNNNNNNNNNNNNNNNNNNNNNNNNNNNNNNNNNNNNNNNNNNNNNNNNNNNNNNNNNNNNNNNNNNNNNNNNNNNNNNNNNNNNNNNNNNNNNNNNNNNNNNNNNNNNNNNNNNNNNNNNNNNNNNNNNNNNNNNNNNNNNNNNNNNNNNNNNNNNNNNNNNNNNNNNNNNNNNNNNNNNNNNNNNNNNNNNNNNNNNNNNNNNNNNNNNNNNNNNNNNNNNNNNNNNNNNNNNNNNNNNNNNNNNNNNNNNNNNNNNNNNNNNNNNNNNNNNNNNNNNNNNNNNNNNNNNNNNNNUUUCCUUACAAUAAUAAUAAUGAUAAGAACCUUGCGUCCCAAGUAGGCUCACGUGAUUGACAUAAAUGACUCAAAUUGGGAACGGAUGAAAACUCCUCCUAUUGCAUGUUCAUGAAUCAGAUAUGGAUGAUAUGGCACCACUUUUCCAUUGCCGUCCCACGCACAUCAUCCACGGUUUCCACAGAGACUGGUAGAAGUAAAAUUGCCAACUCAUCUACCUCCCUCUAUCAAUAUAUAUUAUCUAAUCACGUUCUUGCAUCACGUGUUCUGCGACCAUCAACCGGAGACUUUGACAAUUAUGAACCAUUCCAACACGUCUAAAUACACGUAAGAUUCAUCGGGAUGGCAUAAUCUCUUGUUAAGUCAACGGGCUUUACCUCCCUUCUUUUAUAUGAAUUUUUUUCUGACUACUAAUUAUUAUGUAAAUAGUGAUCAAGAUAUCGAAUGCACCUAUAUAUACAUUACAUACCCAUACCCAGACCAACUCUGAACAGCCAUCAUGGCCGCCACCCACAUUGCCCUGUUCGCAUCCGGCCUCGCCGUCUUGCUUCUCCUAGUCCAAGGAUCGCCGCCAGGGCCCGUUGUCCGGUGCCGGUCCGGCAACACUAACUGCACCGUGACCAACGGCUAUGGAGCCUUUCCUGAUCGCAGCACCUGCCGCGUCGCCGCGGUCGCGUACCCUUCGACCGAACAGGAGCUCCUGUUAGCUGUCUCCGACGCCACCGAGAAGCAGCAGCACAUGAAGGCUGUCACGAUGUACUCCCACAGCAUCCCCAAGCUGUCGUGCCCCGGCGGGCCGAGCGGCCAGGGCCUGGUCAUUAGCACCCAGCUCCUCAACAGAUCGGUGAGCGUGGACAUGGCCACCUCGCGGAUGACGUUCGAGGCAGGGAUCACACUUAGGGCGCUCCUUGACGCGGCGGCCGCCCGUGGCCUGGCGCUACCCCACUCGCCGUACUGGCAAGGGAUCACGCUCGGCGGGCUGCUGAGCACCGGUUCGCAUGGGAGCUCGGUGUUCGGGAAGGGCUCGGCGGUGCACGAAUAUGUGGUAGGGAUGAGGCUGGUGGUUCCAAGUCCGGUACCGGUGAACGGGUACUACGCCAAGAUCGUUAAUCUUGGUGAGGAUAAUCCUGAUCUCUUGGCUGCCAAGGUUUCUCUCGGUGUUCUUGGAGUCAUUUCUCAGGUAUGUGUGUGGUGACCUACGUGUUGUUCUUUGUUCUUUACACGGUUUGAGAUCCAUGUGAUAACUCAUCUUAGUUCUUCAUGGUGGUUCUUCCAACCACGUCAAGUGCUUUCAUAAGCUGAGUACAUGACUCGCCACGUCUCGAUGCUAAUUAGGUGCAACUAUAUCUUUAAUUCUUCAUGAUAUAAUAGAGAUCAUCCUACUGUUAUUAGCAACGCUGAAUACAUCCUAUCGUCAGCAAAAUGUCGAGACAGAAAAAAAGAACUUGUUUUCUAUCAAAUCACUUUACAAAGGAAGACUUGUUCUUUUCCUCGAAUCUAGAAAGUUACGUAAAUAAUAGGCUGUUGAUGAUCCCAGUGGACUUUACUUUUAAUCUUUCCUUCUUUUCUUGCUUUGCUUGUCUUCCUUGUUUCAAAAAGGGCUGAUGCAAACCGUUGAACCGUUCUAAUGAUUCCAUGUACCUUCCCUCGUCGUUUAUCGUAACUACACAACAUAAUUGAGUGUUAUGGAACAUAUGAGCACAUGCAAACCCACAUAGACAAAGAUCAGAGAAAAAGCAAACUUUGCAAUAACAGCUACAGUGACGUUGAUGAUGACUCGGGGUAAAUGAGAGUGCCCCUUCCUUCACAUAUGGAGCCUCGCGCAAGGCAAGAGGCAGGCAGGUCCAUGCUGCCUUGCCUUGCAGAGCUUACGACCGGGCCCGCUAAUUGCCUUAAAAGCCUCAGUAACAAUUAUUAGGUUGAAGGACGAUAGGGGAUGUCAGUAGUAGUAGUUCUUGUUUCAGUCUUAUUGCCUGAAUAGCUGAAAAGAGUUGACUUGCAAUACAUGUAAGCUUUUGUUCUUCUGCUUCAUUAUAAGUAACCUAAGAAUUACUUGAACCGAUCGCGCAGGUCACCCUCCAACUUGAGCCAAUGUUCAAGCGAUCCAUCACCAACAGGGUCGUAAGCGACGUUGGCUUCGAGCAAACCAUCUCCUCGUACGCUGCCGCUACAUACUAUGGGGACAUCAGCUGGUAUCCGUCACAACGCAGAGUGGUGUACCGAGAUGAUAUCAAGGUCCCCAUCACCACCAAAGGAAAGGGUGUCAACGACUACUUAGGGUUCCGAGCUCAGCCCACCCUUGUCGUAGCCUCUCUACGUGCUUCAGGUCUUAUAAAUUGCAGUUUUUAUUUUGCUUGUCAAUCUUGAUGUAGUGUUCGAGAAGUAUUGUGAACACAUUUACAUCGACAUUUCGUCCGAGAUUUAUACUAAGAAGGCAUCUUUUGUCCUCUACCAUGUGUUUGUGUCAAUGACUGCAGAGGAACUAUUGGAAGCAACGGGAAAUGCGGAAGGCAAAUGUGUGCUGUUCAGAUUGCAAGUAGAUACUUUGAUUGCGAUCGGCAUGGGCUUUAAGAACAAUGACGGCGGCUUGUUAGAAUUCACUGGCUAUCCGGUCAUUGGAAACCAAAGCGACAUGCAAUCCGCUGGUAGGUUCUCAAAUUAUCCGAGGAAUGUCUGCAUGUAUGAAUGAUAACUCUUGACGAUAAUGCUUCAUCACAAUAAUGACACAUGUAAUGCCCGGAUUUAUUUAGUUUGAGUCAUCUUCUCUCCAGGUUCAUGCCUAAGGAGUGCAGAAGACAACCUUCUUACAGCCUGUGGCUGGGACCCUCGUUUUGCGGGGCUCUUCUACCACCAAACCACGAUAAGCAUCCCCUUCACCACCAUCGCUGGCUUCAUCGCCGACGUCAAGAAGCUCCGCGACGCCCAUCCCGACGCACUCUGCAGCACCGAGCUGUACUUGGGCUUCUUCAUGCGCUUCGUCCGCAACUCCACAGCUUAUCUUGGCAAAACCGACGACGUGGUGGACAUCGACAUCACAUACUAUCGUUCCAAGGAUCCAAAAAAGCCGCGACUCUACGAGGAUGUGCUCGAGGAGAUCGAACAGAUGGCCUUGUUCAAGUACAAUGCGCUGCCGCACUGGGGGAAGAAUAGAAAUGUCGGCUUCCUCAAUGUCAAGAACAAGCUGGGGGCUAAGUUGGACAAGUUUGUGAGUGUGAUGCAGAAGUAUGACAGCAAUGGAUUGUUCUCUUCAGACUGGACCGAUGCGGUACUGGGACUGCGAGGGAAGGAAGUUGUGGUGCAGGGUGAUGGUUGUGCACUGGAGGGGCUGUGCAUUUGCUCCACUGAUGACCACUGCGCUCCUAAACAAGGCUAUUAUUGUCGACCUGGAGAAGUCUACGAACAGGCUCGAGUGUGCAGGAAGAUUAAAUCCGUGGAAGCUGAUGGUUAGGUUUAUUUCUGUGUCGCUUCCUCUUCGAAUAAAGGAUGUAAUGUCAGUCAAUAAUUACUACAUAGUUUAUUAUUGUAAUAUUAAAGCAAGCGUCGAUAAAUGCAAUAUUGUAUGGGAGGCAGAUUGCAUUCCUCCUGAUUUAUCUGUGCAACUCCAAGAUGACUUAUGCAAGUCAUUCUAUAGAACUAUAAUGUGUUAAUAAAUUUCUUUUGGGCAAAAAAAUUAGGACAUAAUUUCUCAUUGUUUUUAAUUGCAAGAUCCCAUUGUGAAGGAAAGGAACACUCUCCAGUAUCCGUUGCAUGAAAGGGACGAGGAAGCAAGAAAUAACAGUGCCAUUAUUAAUGCCAUCGUGUGGAGAGACGUAGUAUGUUAACGCGAUAUUCUUCGCUAUCAUUCCUUAAAAUAAGAAUGAUGAUUAAUGAUAAUAACCUGCGACUCACGUAAACGUUCUGAUUAAUUUUACAUUAAUCACACUUGAACCACGUUUCGUGACACAAAUGACAUGGUAGUUCACACCGGUUGCAUUUCAAAUUUUUGACUCAAAGCUCGUCCUAUGGAUCGCGAGAAUAAACCAUAUGGUAAGAAGCUACGUAAAUAUGGAAAUCACAAAGAAUGGUGAUUACUGUAAUUAAGCCUUCCUCGAUCCCCCCCAACCCCAAGAAACUACUGCUCUCUCUAAAUAACUCUACGGCGCAGCAUCCAAUCUCCUUUUUGUUCCUUUCUCAUCCUCGUAAUAUAAUUUAGAGAUAGGAAGUGGUCGCGCCAUGAGCAAGGGAAACAGCAGCGAGAGCAAGCUGAGCCAGUGCAUCAAGGCCCCCGACCUGGCUCUGCGACAUACCCGGGACUUGUGCGAGAGCAGCAUGGCCGGGACUGAUAAUAUAUGUAUACACGAUAAUCUCAUGUAAGCUCGUUCAUCUACACCAAAUACUAGUUUUAGAUCGGGCAUGACAUCCUGAAGGAAUGAUUGUUUAAUUGACGACAGUGUUUAUUUACGUGUGGAUUUGACGUGCUUGUUUCCAUCUUUAAAAAGGAAAAUUCAAAUUCUUUUAAAAAAAAACUGUCAACUUAAUUUUUCAAAUAGCUCUUCAAAAAAUUCUCAUUGAGUAUUUUUUUUUUUCAAAAAGACUAUUCUAUAUCAAUCGGUCAUCGCCUCCGCCUCGUAUCACUUCUGAACACGUAUCAGAGUAUUUUUUUCAAAAAGUUUCUUCUAAGCGUGAGACAAUGUAUCACUUCUGAACACGUAUCAGAGUAAAUCCAGGCCAUUGCAGUUUGCAACUUCUUCUUUCUUUUCCUGAUCCAAUUCUUACAGUUGUUGGUGAUCAUCCGCAAUUUCUUCCCAGUAUAUGUUCCCCUUGUAGCUCAAGCAAUAUCCGAAGGUAACUUUAGCUAUAAAUUUCGUUUGGUUUGGAAGUUCAAGAAAAAAUAGUCACUCUUAUGUCCAAAGUUAUUGACAGAAAUGAGGUGGUCUCAUUAACUAUGCUUUGAUACUAUGGACUACGGUCAAGAAUUUGAAGCUGUCUGGCAACAUUUACAAGUGAGAAUGGAACGGAUAAAUGAAAUCAAAAGUACCCAUUUGGACUGCACAAGAAAAACCUUUAUGACUGACGUUUUGAACUGUUCAUAUGAGGUAGUCACUGUUAACUCACAUCCACGUUCAAGAAAAGGAUGUGCUACAGUCUCCUAGCGGUGGCAAUUCCAUGAUUGUCCACCGAGGAUGCUUAUUAUUCUUAUUCGCAAGCAGUUCGUCUGAGAAAUUAACUCAGAAGCCUCGUAUUGUGCUUCUGCUCAACCAAAGAAAGAGAUCAGAAGUGGAGAUAGAAGAUCCAUGGAGCAGGACGAUCCCAAUUACCUCUUCCAGGCCUAAAUUGUAGAGUAAGUUGAUCUCUGUCAUAACCAAGUCUUGGCAGCGAUCUCCAAAGAGUUCCAUGCAUCUCGGCCAUGUAGUCGGCAACGAAGCGACGUGAUGGCAUUGAAUUCAGUGUACUCUCUGUGCAGUCACCUUACUCGGCAUCCAUGCAACCGUUCUUCCUUUAUUUUCAAAGAUAAUGAUUACUGAUUUCUUCGAGGGGAAGUGCUUCUAAAUGUGCUCGUGCAAUUGAUUCUCUUCUCAAUCGAUCUUGAUGUGCCAUGCGAUCAAACUCACAUUACGGUGUUCGUGAACAGACGUUGAAGAUCAUGGAAGGAGUAUUUUGUUUGCUGUGAUUGUGUGGAGAGAAACACACGAGGCAAGGGAAGUCCCUGUGUAGUCGGAGAAGGCAACGGAUGGCUUGGCUUUUUCUUCCCUGUAAAGGUGGAAGACGAGAUGGCCAGAUGAUCUAAUAUUAUAUUGCAGUGUUGCGUCUGUCCGUGGUUGUAGGAGUGUCCUACAAAAACAAUAACAGCUUGUUACUAAGACAUGUUCUAUAAACAAUCAAAACAAUUAAAUAUUACACGCAUUAUAUUAAGACCAGCAGAAAAUGUCUUACGUGAUUAAGUAAUUUAGUAUCUGAUAUGGGACUGACAUAUAAAUCAAAUUCUUUUAAAGUAGAAGAAUCUGAAAUAUUUUUUCUUUGUUUUUCUCAAAUAACCUAUUCAAUCUUAUUUCAUAUGCGAACCCAUUAGUUCAUCAAAUAAAAAUAUAGAUAAAUCUUUUGACUCUUAUAACAAUAUGAUCAAAUUUCGGAGUUAAACUUUUCAAAACUUUUAUAACAAUUAUAUGAUAAGGAAGAUGUACACCAUAAAAUUUUAUUUAACUAACAAUAUCAAUCACUUGUGAAAGAAAAUCUUACAUCGAUUCAUUAUUUUUCAUGAAUAAAUUUUAAAUUCACCACGAAGGGUUUAAAGUUUUACUGUAAUCACCCUUGUUGAGCCUUGAAAUUCAUUUUGAAGUAUCAAUCAAACUUGCUUUAAGGUUAUUGCUAUUGUAAUUCUUGAGAAAAUUAUUUCAUGUAUAGCUUGUUGAAUGAACAACAAUGCCUUUGAGUUCUUAUUUCUAUUCUUCCUCAGCCUGAUUUUUUUAUGUAGACCUACAUAUCCAUUCUCUAUUAAGUCCCAAAGAUCUUGAGACUUGAAUAAAAUAUUUAUCUUGAUACUCUAAAAUUCAUAGCAUUUGUCCGAGAAGAUGGAAAUAAGGGGUUGAGACAUAAAAUUAUUAUUAAAAGUCAUAAUACCCAAUUCGGAUUGAAAACUUAGCUAUGAUACCAUAAAUGUUGAGGAUGAAGGAAUAAGGAAAUGAUAAAAACAGAAUACUAUGAUAUAAUUAAAAAAAAUAUUUUGAUCAAGAAAAUCGUUGUAGUAUUUAAAUAAGAUAUAAGAUAUGAACACUUACAAGAUAUUCUCAAGUGCACACUCUUUAUCUUAUUUCAUGAAUUAAGGUCUUAUUUAUAGGACAUAGUGGUAACUACCUCACUCCAUCAUGUCACCCGUGAUUGAAUUAGGUGUAGAAACUACCUUAUAAUUUUUAGAUCAUGGGUCAUUAUUUAAAAUAUGUCCACAACUAUUUAAAACAUGAUAACUAUCUAGAUAACUACUAUGAAUCAUUAAUUUUACGUUACUGUUUUCUUCGAGCGGAAGUGCUUCUAAAUGUGCUCGUGCAAUUGAUUAUCUUCUCAAUCGAUCUUGGUGUGCCAUUCGAUCAAACUCACGGUAUGGUGUUCGUGAACAAACGUUGAAGAUCAUGGAAGGAGUUUUUUUUUUGCUUGCUUGACGUAAUUGUGUGGAGAGAAACACACGAGGCAAGGGAAGUCCCUGUGUGGCCGGAGAAGGCAACGGAAGAUCAAGUGCAAGACAACCGAUGGCUUGGCUUUUUCUUCCCUGUAAAGGUGGAAGACGAGAUGGAUAGAUGAUCUAAUAUUAUAUUGCAUUGUUGAGGGUAUCCAAUCAUUGUACAUCUGUCCGUAGCCGUAGGAGUGUCCUAAAAAAGCAAUAACAGCUUGUUACUAAGACAUGUUUUAUAAACAAUCAAAACAAUUAAAUAUUACACGCAUUAUAUUAAGGCCGGCAGAAAAUGACUACUACUUUUCGAUACUCUCUUGUGUUGUGCUUACGUGAUUAUAGUAUGAUAUGAGACUGACAUAUGACCAACACUUCAGUAACGUACGACCUACACCUCAACCGGAGGAUCUCAUCCAAGCAAUGCAUAGUAGGCACUUUGACACUCAACGGUAGGAAUCUAAAGCUCUUCAACCCCUAAUGUAUGGAAUUUGAGGUGACUUCGUAAUUUUCUUUUACAAAUUUUAAUAAAUAUAUAUUUCUCUCUAAAUAUUAUUAUCAUUCAAAUAAAUCCUUCACAUUAACGUUCUUUAAAAAGAAACCAAGAUAACCACAAUAAUCAUGGUUUUCUUCAAUUGACCAUUUGACUUCAAACCAAUUUUUAACAUAAAAUAUUUUAUAUAUCUUACUAUCUUAAUAAGGCUUGUAAAAUGUAUCAAUGUCGCUCUAAUGGUGAAAUAACAGACAUGGAGAAUAAUUUUACAGUCUCCAUAUAUAAAUAAAAAAAUCACUCUAUGUAUAAGAACACACAAAGGUAUAAUUACACUAAAAACAAUACAAUUAUCGAUGCCCCUCGCAAAAAUAUUUUAUAUCGGUUGUAUUUAAUCGGCUCACGUCGAUCAAGGUUUGUGUUUUGUCGUUAAAUCAAUCAAGUUGUCCAUUUGAUAUCAUUCAUUUACGUGCAUUUGUCCAUCAAAUAAUAAUAGUUGGACCAUGAGUUGGCUAUCUUAUCUUCCUGCCCAUCAAAACCCUUCCAUGAUGUGGCAUCGAAUAAACUUACGAUUAAAACAUGAUGAAUCAACCCUUACAAUUUAUAACAAAUAAUUGGACCGAUUCUUCCAAAUUUUAUAGUCCCAUCGUGAGGGAUGCAUGACCAAACAACCUCGCCCACAGCAUUUGACGCAGCCAUCACUAACCUUAUCGCUUUUAAAUGCAUAGUAUGGUAAAAAUAAUGAUAAUAAACUCGCGUCACAAGUUGAUAUUUUUAUUGGUUUUAGUCAAUUUCCACUUGAAGCACGUGAAUGACGUAAAUGACAUUACAGUUCGCAUUGCGUACGCAUCUAACUCUUUUGACUGGAAGCUCCUCCAAUUGCAUGUCCAUGAAUCAGAUAUGGAUGAUAUGGUACCACUUUUCCAUUGUCUUCCCACGCACAUCAUCCACGGUUUCCACACAGACUAGUAGAAGUAAAAUUGCCAACUCAUCUACCUCCAUCUAUCAAUAUAUUAUAUAAUCUCGUUCUUGCAUCGCGUGUUCUGCGACCAUCAACCGGAGACAUUAACAAUUAUGAGCCAUUCCAACACGUCUAAGUACACGUCAGAUUCAUCGGGAUGGCAUAAUCUCUUGAUAAGUCAAUGGGCUUUACCUCCCUUAUUUUAUCUGAAUUUUUUUCUGACUGUGUAAACAAAUUCACCUAUAUAUACAGACAUGCCCGGAUCAACUCUGGACAACCAUCAUGGCCGCCACCCACAUUGCCCUGUUCGUUUCCGGCCUUGCCGUCUUGCUUCUCCUCGUCCAAGGAUCGCCGCCAGGGCCUGUUGUCCAGUGCCGGUCUGGCAACACUAACUGCACCGUGACCAACGGCUAUGGAGCCUUUCCUGAUCGCAGUACCUGCCGCGUCGCCGCGGUCGCGUACCCUUCGAACGAACAGGAGCUCCUGUUAGCUGUCUCCGACGCCACCGUGAAGCAGCAGCACGUGAAGGCGGUCACGGUGUACUCACACAGCAUCCCCAAGCUGUCGUGCCCCGGCGGGCCGAGCGGCCAGGGCCUGGUAAUCAGUACCCAGCGCCUCAACAGAUCGGUGAGCGUGGACUUGGCCACCUCGCGGAUGACGUUCGAGGCAGGGAUCACACUUAGGGCGCUCCUUGACGCGGCGGCCGCCCGUGGCCUGGCGCUGCCCCACUCGCCGUAUUGGCAAGGGGUGACGCUGGGCGGGCUGCUGAGCACCGGCUCACACGGGAGCUCGGUGUUCGGGAAAGGCUCGGCGGUGCACGAAUAUGUGGUAGGGAUGAGGCUGGUGGUUCCAAGUCCGG
rnacentral:lncRNA from 1 species